rnacentral:rRNA from 1 species
GCAAUGAAAGUGAAGAGGAGCCUCGCGCCCCUCCAGGCAGGAUCUGUCGUCCGUUUUUGUGGGCGGCAGCGCACUGCCGGCCCGUCUCGGCCGCUUAUGACGGCGAGGCGGAGCAAGAGCGCACGCUCUGGGACCCGAAAGAUGGUGAACUAUGCCUGAGCAGGACGAAGUCAGGGGAAACUCUGAUGGAGGUCCGCAGCGAUUCUGACGUGCAAAUCGAUCGUCAAACUUGGGUAUAGGGGCGAAAGACUAAUCGAACCAUCUAGUAGCUGGUUCCUUCCGAAGUUUCCCUCAGGAUAGCUGGCACUAAUCUCGCUGCAGUUUUAUCCGGUACAGCGAAUGAUUAGAGGGAUUGGGGAUUUCUUGUCCUCAACCUAUUCUCAAACUUUAAAUGGGUAAGAAGCACGACUCGCCUGAAACAUUUUACUACGGAGUCGCUGCCUACUAUUGAAUGCAUGAGUGCCAAGUGGGCCAAUUUUGGUAAGCAGAACUGGCGCUGUGGGAUGAACCAAACGUCCGGUUAAGGCGCCCGAGGCGGACGCUCAUCAGACCCCAUAAAAGGUGUUGGUUGGUAUAGACAGCAGGACGGUGGCCAUGGAAGUCGGCAUUCGCUAAGGAGUGUGUAACAACUCACCUGCCGAAUCAACCGGCCCUGA